UUCCUGGUGGUCCAGUGGCUAAGACUCUGUGCCUCUAAUGCCAAGGACCCAGGUUCAAUUCCUGGUCAGGGAA
rnacentral:tRNA from 1 species